rnacentral:rRNA from 1 species
AUGCGGGACUCAUCAGAGGCCUCGCAAUUGGAAUGAGCGCACUUUAAAUCGUUCGACGAGGAUCUAUUGGAGGGCAAGUCUGGUGCCAGCAGCCGCGGUAAUUCCAGCUCCAAUAGCGUAUAUUAAAGUUGUUGCAGUUAAAAAGCUCGUAGUUGGAUCUGGGGUUCGGGUCGGCGGUUUGCCGCUUCGGCGGCUACUGCCGUGCUCGACUCUUACUAGCCGGUGCGUCUUGCGGUGCUCUUCAUCGAGUGCCGUAGGAGCCUGGCAUGUUUACUUUGAAAAAAUUAGAGUGCUCAAAGCAGGCGAUUCCGCCUGAAUAGUGUUGCAUGGAAUAAUGGAAUAGGACCUCGGUUCUAUUUUGUUGGUUUUCGGAACUUGAGGUAAUGAUUAAGAGGGACGGUCGGGGGCAUUCGUAUUUCGGUGUUAGAGGUGAAAUUCUUGGAUCGCUGAAAGACGGACAAAUGCGAAAGCAUCUGCCAAGAACGUCUCCAUUAAUCAAGAACGAAAGUCAGAGGUUCGAAGACGAUCAGACACCGUCCUAGUUCUGACCAUAAACGAUGCCAACUAGCGAUCCGCAGUGGUUGCUAUAAACGGACUCUGCGAGCAGCUUCCGGGAAACCAAAGUGUUUGGGUUCCGGGGGAAGUAUGGUUGCAAAGCUGAAACUUAAAGGAAUUGACGGAAGGGCACCACCAGGAGUGGAGCCUGCGGCUUAAUUUGACCCAACACGGGGAAACUCACCCGGUCCGGACACUGUAAGGAUUGACAGAUCGAGAGCUCUUUCUUGAUUCGGUGGAUGGUGGUGCAUGGCCGUUCUUAGUUGGUGGAGUGAUUUGUCUGGUUAAUUCCGAUAACGAACGAGACUCUAGCCUGCUAACUAGUUGCGCCGUGUUCAUACGCGGCUGUAGACUUCUUAGAGGGACAGGUGGCGUUUAGCCACACGAAAUUGAGCAAUAACAGGUCUGUGAUGCCCUUAGAUGUCCGGGGCCGCACGCGCGCUACACUGAAGGAGUCAGCGUGUGCUAUCCGGGCUCGGAAGAGUUCGGUAACCCGUUGAAACUCCUUCGUGCUUGGGAUUGUGGCUUGUAAUUAUCGCGCAUGAACAAGGAAUUCCCAGUAAGUGCAAGUCAUCAGCUUGCGCUGACUACGUCCCUGCCCUUUGUACACACCGCCCGUCGCUACUACCGAUUGAAUGGUUUAGCAAGGUACUCGGAUUGGUCUCGAUCUUGUACGAAAGUGCGGGAUCUGUGGCCGAGAAGAAGGCCAAACUUGAUCAUUUAGAGGAAGUAAA